rnacentral:rRNA from 1 species
CAGGAGUAGACUUCGUCUACCCUCCGGGUAGACGAAGUCUCGGGCUAGGAAUAUGCACUAGUAAAAAAUAAAGCUUCGCUUUAUUUUUUUCCUCGUCUAGACCAUUGUUGGAUAUAUAAAGUAUAAAUGUAAUUUAGGUGUGCCAGCGUUUCGCUAGCUCCUCCUAAAUUAUAUAAGUAUAGAAAGAAAUUAUUGUAGAAUUUAAGCUACAUAUUAAAGAGAUUUAUUUAUAUAAAUAGGCUUGCUAGCUGAUUGUAUAUAUAUGCUGGCCGGCGUAAGCUCGCUUUUAAUAGGCAACCAGUAAUAUGAGCAAUUCUUUACCUACAAGCCUAUAAUUAUAUUAACUCUAAGAGAAAUCUAAUAAUAAACGGAGUGAAUUGAAAUAUCUUAUUAACUUCAGGAAAAGAAAUCAAAAGAGAUUCUAUGAUUAGCGUGAGCUAAAAUAGAGUAGCCUAGAAAGUCAAAUGGUGGAUAAACUGUUUAAAUUUAAUGGGGAACCUUCCUCAAAGGCUAAAUAUAAUAUGUAAGCGAUAGUGGAAAGUACCGUGAGGGAACCAAAACAAAAACAGUAAUUUUAUAAGCAGUUCGGAAAAAUAAAAAAGUUAGAACGUACCUUUUGCAUAAUGGGUCACCAAGUUAACAUUAGAUGCGAGAUUCUACGUAGUUAAACCGAGCGUUAAAAUAACGGUAAGUGUCUAAAGUUAGACCCGAAGCCUGGUGAUUUUACCAUAAUCAGGAUUAUAAAAGUCCGAACGGAAUAUUGUAGCAUAAAUAUCCGAAGAAUUAUGGUAGGUGUAGUGAAAGACAAUACUGACCAGGAUAGCUGGUUUUCUGCGAAACCUAUAACAGUAGGCAAUUUAAGUAUAAUAUCUUAGCAGGUACAGAAUUUAAUCUCAGACAAGACAUAAGGCUUAGCUUGUUAGCAAGUUAAGCUCAUGUUUUAUUUUGUACAAAUUGGGGGAUCAUGAAGAUUUUAUCAGUGAGUAUGUAGACUCGGAAUGGCAAAGAUAUAUCUUAAAUCAUCAGACAUAGAAUGAUAAGGUUGUAUGUCAAAAGGGAAACAGCCCAGAACAAGAGUUAAGGUUCCUAAAUUAUUAGUUGAGUGAAAUUAAGAAGGUUUUUAUUAAAGUCGACAAGGAGAUAGGCUUAGAAGCAGCCAUAAUUUUAUGACCUCGUAACAGAGCGCUUGUUAAGUUUUAAAAGCAUCGAAAAUUUAUCGGAUCUAAACAAUAUACCGAAACCUUGUCCAUAUUAUUUUAUAAUUAAUAAAUUAAUUAUAAUUAAAUGGGGUAGCAGAACGUUGAGCUAAAUUAAGAUUUUUAUUUUUUAAAUGAAAUUAUAAUAAUUUAACUCAAGUGAUAAUGGUGACAUGAGUAACUAAAAGAAAAUUUUCCGCCUAAAGCUUAUGGAUGUAAUUAAGUAACGGCCUCUAAGUUUAUAGAAUCAAAAGAUUAAAACGAUGAGACAAUCUUUCAUACUAAGGACGACAUUUUAAGUGAAAAAUGUACUGGAAAAAUAGUAAUAAGUUUAAGCUAUGGCUAUAAUUAGCUAUAGCUGUAAAUGGAAAGUAACCGUACCUAGAAUCUGAAACAAGUAAGCUAGUAGAGAAUACGAAGGCGUAAAUGAGCUAACAAUCAUAAAGGAACUCGGCAAAUUGACUACCGUAACUUCGGGAUAAGGAGAGCUCAUUAUUCUUGAUUAAUAUCAGGUAAAGAGGAAGAAGCAUGAAAUAGUGUUGUACGACUGUUUAAUUAAAACACAGCACUUUGCUGAAAGAUUAAAAAUCUAAGUAUAGAGUGUGAUGUCUGCCCGGUGCCGGCUGGUUAACAGAUAUAAUUAAAUAUACUAAUAUUUGAUGUAGACGGAAACCCCGGUUAAAGGCGGCCUUAACGUGAGGGUCCUAAGGUAGCGAAAUGCCUUGGCCGUUAAAUGCGGUCUUGCAUGAAUGAUGUAACGAUACAACAGCUGUCUCUAUGAUUGACUCAGUGAAAUUGGAAUAGCUGUGCAGAUACAGUUUACCUCUAGUUAGACGAGAAGACCCUAUGCAGCUUUACUGUCACUAAUUAUAGAGUAUGAUAAACAAUUUUCAGUUUAUAAGGUAAUUGACGGCCGGCUUGCUUAGCAAGCUGGCUCUAUGACAAUGAGAAUCCUUUAUUUUUUUUUCAUAUGAAUGAAUUGGUUUAGGACGAGCUUAAGCUCGUAGUAAAUCAACCUAAUUCAGCUUAUUUUCCUUUCUGCUGUAAGCGCAUAAUGAUAGAUUAUACUUAAAUUUGGAUUUAUGCCUGCAGAAAUAGAUAAGUACCCUUGGUUAAGGAACUAUCGCUAGGGGACAGUUUAUGUGGGGCACAGACCCUGUAAAGAGUAAACAGGAGUGUCUAAUAAUUUAUAAUUAUUUUGUUUGCGAUUUAAGGUAGUAUAACUAUUUUUAAUCAUAUAAAAUUAUUUAUAUGUACAUUCGUUGUAUAUAUAUUUAAAAAAAGGUAGGAUUUUCACUAUAUAGAAAUUAGAGAUAAUAAAAAUAUUAAGUAUUCCCGGCGGCUUCGCUGGGAAUACUAAUAUUUUUUAACUAUUAAGACU